UAAGAAGUUAUAUUUUGCAUGGAGAAAAUUAAACAGCAACAAAAAAUCAUGUAAUAUAGAGUAAAAAUUGUAUGACGGUAAAUGGGAAUUACAGAUAUUAAAAUGCGCUUAAUUUUCUUCAGGUACAAUAUAAUUUCUCUUUUUCCUUUUGAUAAUGGGGUGAUAUGAAUAUACGUUUUCUUCAUAUUUACAUUUUUAUUCGGAUGAUGUUGUUGUAUUUUUGCAUUCAUGGUAGAAUAUGAAAAUUUUAACACCUUCUGAUUUUAAAUGUGGUUGAUUAUUUGUCUUUUUAAAUAUUUGCUCACCAACAAUCCCUGAGAAAACACAUUGCAUGUUGAUAAACGCUGGACUCUUUGGCCACGUCUCAGUCGUCCAGCUUCCCUCUCGUGCCCUUGUGUUAACCUUUGAGAACUGACGCACACUUUUGAGAAUGCACACUUCUGGUAAUUACCGCUGCUGCAUGGAUUGUGAAAGUUGCCUUAACAUGUUGCUGUAGUGUAAAUAGUGUCUGAAUGCUGUGUUUACAUCAUGAGAAACUAGAGAAAGGGAAGUUCAAGCACAUUUGUUCCUGUUAAGUGUGUAUUGCUAUUGAUAUGACUGAUGUGUGUGUUGAUAUUCAUCAUCUGUUGUGUGUGUGUGUGUGUGUGUGUGUGUGUGUGUAGUGUACUGAUAUAUAUGUAUAUUAAAAAAAGCAAAACAUU